rnacentral:rRNA from 1 species
AAUCAAGUGCCUUAAGGGUGUUCGGUGGAUGCCUUGGCGCUGAGAGGCGAUGAAGGACGUGCUACGCUGCGAU